UUUAAGCAUUUUAAAGGUAGAUCCGUUUAUGAGCCAAAUGAACCCGCUCUUUUACUUGAACGGAGCCAAAUGUGCCGGCUCACCGAAUAGACUCAGAAAGCCCAUCACUACUACAGCGGAGAGGUUAGAUCCAAACAGAGCACCACAAUCAACAGGCACGCUCAACAGACAGGCGGUUAGGGCGUUGGGAUUUGACUGUCACAGGGACCAACUAAUAAGAGGUUAUAAUUCAUUGGAAUUGUUGUGAUUGUAUGUUUGUCUGUACAGUUAUGGCUGUCCUGUUAUUAUUUUGUGUCUUGAUCAAUAAUGAGUAGCUAAACCAUAUCGACUUUUGGACACUGAUGCGCAGGAGAACCCCUAGCUGUCAAUCAAGCAGGCGCGGUGAACGGAUUAUGACGCUCGAGCGUUCCAAAUGACGCAACAAUACAGUUCCAGAACAGAGAAAGUUAAUGCCGAAGAUGUUGUUCGGUUCCACACUAAAACUGCUGUUUGACAAGUGGGAUUUGAGAAAUAAAACUUGUAGACCUUUCCUGCAGUCUCUGAGGAGAUGGACACCUCUUCUUCUUCUGGACGAUCUCCGUCUCCUACUGGGACUGUCUUCUUACCCCCUCCUAUCAUGUGGAACAGUCUCUACAAGCAGGCAGAGAUGGAGGUUCAGUUCCUGAGGGAAGAGAAGAAGACCUGUACAGAGAAGGAAGCCCACAUGCUUGAGUUGAGGGGGAAGGAUCGAACGAUCUGAAAUCAGAAGAAGGAGAUGGACAGACUUCAAGUGUGCCUCUGGGAGGAGGAAAAGAAGAAGAGGAAUGGUGGAACGGAGAAGGACGAGAUGAUUGAACAAUUACAGUCUGAGACAGACCAUCUCAGAGCCCUUUUGAAAGAUGAAAGGAGGAGAAGAAGAGUAGAAAGGGGUAUUAUGAAAGAGUGGAAGGCUGAGAUCCUGAGACUGAGGGAGGCAGAGAGCCAC